rnacentral:rRNA from 1 species
UACGUAGGUGGCAAGCGUUAUCCGGAUUUACUGGGUGCAAAGGGAGCGUAGACGGCAGAGCAAGUCUGAAGUGAAAGCCCGCGGCCCAACUGCGGGACUGCUUUGGAAACUGCCCGGCUAGAGUGCUGGAGAGGUAAGCGGAAUUCCUAGUGUAGCGGUGAAAUGCGUAGAUAUUAGGAGGAACACCAGUGGCGAAGGCGGCUUACUGGACGACAACUGACGCUGAGGCGCGAAAGUGUGGGGAGCAAACAGG